rnacentral:rRNA from 1 species
GUGAGGAAUUUUCCGCAAUGGGCGAAAGCCUGACGGAGCAAUGCCGCGUGAAGGAUGAAGGCCUAUGGGUUGUAAACUUCUUUUCUCAGAAAAGAAUUAUGACGGUAUCUGAGGAAUAAGCAUCGGCUAACUCUGUGCCAGCAGCCGCGGUAAGACAGAGGAUGCAAGCGUUAUCCGGAAUGAUUGGGCGUAAAGCGUCUGUAGGUUGUUUAAAAAGUAUUCUGUCAAAGAUUAGGGCUUAACCCUAGAUAGGCAGAAUAAACUUUUAAGCUAGAGUUUGGUAGAGGCAGAGGGAAUUCCCGGUGGAGCGGUGAAAUGCGUAGAUAUCGGGAGGAACACCAAAGGCGAAGGCACUCUGCUGGGCCAAUACUAACACUGAGAGACGAAAGCGAGGGGAGCAAAUGGGAUUAGAAACCCUGGUAGUUCC